GACGAACGCUGGCGGCGUGCUUAACACAUGCAAGUCGAACGGAAAGGCUCCAGCUUGCUGGAGUACUCGAGUGGCGAACGGGUAAGUAACACGUGGGUAAUCUGCCCUGCACUCUGGGAUAAGCCUGGGAAACUGGGUCUAAUACUGGAUAUGACCUUUCUCCUCAUGGGGUUUGGUGGAAAGUUUUUCGGUGUAGGAUGAGCCCGCGGCCUAUCAGCUUGUUGGUGGGGUGAUGGCCUACCAAGGCGACGACGGGUAGCCGGCCUGAGAGGGUGAUCGGCCACAUUGGGACUGAGAUACGGCCCAGACUCCUACGGGAGGCAGCAGUGGGGAAUAUUGCACAAUGGGCGGAAGCCUGAUGCAGCGACGCCGCGUGAGGGAUGACGGCCUUCGGGUUGUAAACCUCUUUCAGCAGGGACGAAGCGUAAGUGACGGUACCUGCAGAAGAAGCACCGGCUAACUCUGUG
rnacentral:rRNA from 1 species